GGCUCUUUCUGCAAAAAGAAACGGCAAACGGCAGCUUGACCAUUUCUGUCCACUACCGUGAUACAGACAUAGGUGCAACAGUUUCGCCUACACGAUAUGACCAUGGCUCAAAAUAGCACACAAGCCCCGUUAAGUAAUUCUACAGAGAGUAACUUGUCUGAGAGCAGCUCCUUACUUGGACUUGCUGUUGGUUUGCCUAUAUUCUUCAUGGCUUUGCUGCUGGUGGGGAUAGCAGUGUUUUUCUGGUUUCGACACAGAAAAUCAGUGGAUAUUGAGUUAUCGAACAAACUUAAGACCAAAGACAAGAGCCCCGGUGGGCAACCCAAUGAGUCUCAUUACAGUGGAUACACCGGAGGGCUUCAGCCCGCACCCCAGAGCCCAAUCUAUGAGAACUUUCCUGGUGUACAGUCCAAUCUACGUGAAUUUCAGAGUGCUGGACAGAGUGAGGACACACACAGAGACCAAGCAUACCUGCCGUGUGAUCCACAUGAUGCAAUCUACAGCAAUGAUCCUGCCCUCUUCCAUCCAGAUCAGGCUGAAAUCUCUGAGGAUGUUUACAUCAUGCCAGAUGCUUGAAAGUCUGAAAUGUUUUGCUGUCCAGUAUUAAUCCCCAAAAUGUUCAGUAGAAUCAUUUGUACUGGCAUGAUAUGAAAAAAAAGUCUUUAUUAUUAAAGGGUGAAAUCGAGGGCAGAACAUUUUGCCCGAGAAAUAGCGAUUCAAAUGCCCUCACAAACAUUACAUACAGUUUAUUGACUAAACACACUAUGAGACAGCAUAACAUAUUCAUGACCUCAUUGA
ensembl:lncRNA